rnacentral:rRNA from 1 species
GGGCUAAGAAAAUUUAGGGGUUGUACCUUUUGUAUCAGGGGAGCUUAAAAAUAAAAAUAGGAGUAGGCCGAGUUAAACAGAUCUUCUAUAAUAGAUUUUAGUGGAAGUUAAAGUAAUAAUAAUUUAAGUGGUGAAAAGUUUUCGAUGUUUAUGGUAUCUAGUUGCUUUAAAGUCAAAGGGAUUAAGCUCUUUUAUGUUUAUAAAGAGUUAAGGUAAGAAAAAUUAGGCUUUAGGUUAGCCAUGUUAAUAAGUUGUUUUAAACAAUUUUAAUAGAAUAUAAGAGUAUAAAGUUAUGUGGUAUACUAGAAUACUUUAGUUAGUAAAAAUAAUGAGUUUAUUGAAUAGUAAGGGGAGUUUUAAAAUUACUCAAAUAAAGUUAGAAAGUUUAACAAAAACAUUUUUAUUUAUGGAAAGUGUAGUAAGGCCUGCCCAGUGCUAAGUUAACGGCUGCGGUAUUUUGACUGUGCUAAGGUAGCAUAAUCAUUUGUUAUUUAAUUGGUAGCUAGAAUGAAAGGUUAAACUAGCUUAGUUAGUUUGUUUGACUAAUUAGGAGAUUAAAGUCAAGGUAAGAAUUCUUUGAUAGGCUAGGGGACGAUAAGACCCUAGAAGCUUAACAAAAAGGGAUGUUUUAGUAGUAGCUAAAUAUUUGUUUUACUGGGGCGGUAGUAGUACAUAAACUAUACUUAUUUGAAUGAUCCUUAUAUAAAGAUAAAGCGGGUAAGUUACUCUAGGGAUAACAGUACAAUAUUUUUGAAGAGAUCAUAUCGAUAAAAAUGUUUGUAACCUCGAUGUUGAAUUAAAAUAACUCUGUGGAGCAGUAGAUACAGUAGAAGGUUUGUUCAACC